UACGUAGGGGGCUAGCGUUGUCCGGAAUCAUUGGGCGUAAAGCGCGUGUAGGCGGUCCGGUAAGUCCGCUGUGAAAGUCCAGGGCUCAACCCUGGGAUGCCGGUGGAUACUGUCGGGCUCGAGUCCGGAAGAGGAGUGUGGAAUUCCUGGUGUAGCGGUGAAAUGCGUAGAUAUCAAGCGGAACACCAGUGGCGAAGGCGAGUCCCUGGACAACUCCUGACACUGAUGCACGAAAGCUAGGGGAGCAAACAGG
rnacentral:rRNA from 1 species